rnacentral:rRNA from 1 species
CGCACAAGCGGUGGAGCAUGUGGUUUAAUUCGACGGUAAGCGAGGAACCUCACCAAGGCUUGACAUCCAGCUGCAGACUCCUGGAAACAGGAGAGCCUUCGAGGGUGCUGGACAGAUGCUGCAUGGUUGUCGUCAGCUCGUGUCGUGAGAUGUACCGUUAAGUCGGAAAACGAGCGCAACCCCUAUCCUAUGUUUUAUAUGUCAUAGGAAACUGCCCGUUUUAAAUGGGAGGAAGGUGGGGAUGACGUCAAAUCAGCAUGGUUCUUACGCCUUGGGCUACACACGUGCUACAAUGGAGGGUACAGAGGGACGCCAAAUCGCAAGAUGGAGCAAAUCCCUUAAAACCCUUCUCAGUUCGGAUUGAGGUCUGCAACUCGACCUCAUGAAGCCGGAAUCGCUAGUAAUCGCGCAUCAGCAAUGGCGCGGUGAAUACGUUCUCGGGUCUUGUACUCACCGCCCGUCACACCAAGAGAGCCGAUAAUACCCAAAGAAUCAGCUUGGCUGGUUUUAAGGUAGGAUUGGUAAUAAGGGUGAAGUCGUAACAAGGCAUCCGUAGCGGAAGCUGUGGAUGGAUCACCUCCUUUCU